GCCGACACUGGCAGCACUGAUUAUUCAAAUACUGAUCCUGUUCGUGAUACCCCCCAAUCGGAUUCUGCACACACCAACUGACAUCCAUCAAAGUAUCUCGGCUCAUGUAGCGAAUGACAGACGUCAAUGCGAUUAGGUAGGCCGAAGUGUAAAACCACAAGUCAUGUGCGAACAUACGGUGUGAAUUAUCCUCUCUAUUUCUUUAAUUUACUAUUAUUAUUCAAUUACCACCUUUGGGAUUGUGCACAAGUGCGAAACGAAUUUAUAAUUUCUUCAUUGUUAGCGACACCCAUAGGUCCGAAUAGAUCCCUUCAAUCGUGAUUGCGAUAUCACUAUUCUGAACUGUAUCUGAAGAGCCUCGGAAGACCAGCGUAAGCUAGAAAUUGUUGGGUUAGACCGAAACUAAGAAGACCAGAUUGUAAGUGGUAGCAUUCAGUUUUCUUUAAAAUUUUGCGCCUAAUAAAUCUUUUCCGUAGCUUUAAGAAUUCGGCAAACUGAA
rnacentral:lncRNA from 1 species